GCCUGAUGGUUUGCCACAUUGGAUUCUAAAGCUUACAGCAGUGCCAUUUUACAGACCAGUUCCCUUAGAUUAUGAAUCUGCUUUGUGAUUCUGUUGUUCAUAUGACUUAUCACAGCAAGGUCAGAGAGGAGACUGUGUAUCCCUCCAGGCAUUUUAUCUCAUUUUAGGAAUGGAAGCUGAUAAUAAAUCAUCUAGAGACACUUUUAUGCCCAUUUUCUCAUUAAGGGUCAGAGUCCAUGAAAUGCACCUGCUAUCACUGACUGGUGUGCUGCUGCUUCAUCUGGAAGAUAACUGGACUUCAGGAUAAUUUACUGUUAUCAUUUGAUGUACUCUUACAGUAGUGUUGCUCCUGUAUCUUUGCAUGUUUUAGUUUCAGCUUUUGAAGCUCUGCCCAUACAGCUGUUUGAAUAGUGCUGUGUUUAAUAUGGACCAUACAGAAGUGGUUCAGCUUCCUGUAUUCUACAGUCUCUUUAUUCCUACUUAUGUGUAAUAAGUGUAGUUAACAAAUUGUUUUUCCUUUUUUUUU